AGCGGCGGACGGGUGAGUAAUGCCUAGGAAUCUGCCUGGUAGUGGGGGAUAACGUUCGGAAACGGACGCUAAUACCGCAUACGUCCUACGGGAGAAAGCAGGGGACCUUCGGGCCUUGCGCUAUCAGAUGAGCCUAGGUCGGAUUAGCUAGUUGGUGGGGUAAUGGCUCACCAAGGCGACGAUCCGUAACUGGUCUGAGAGGAUGAUCAGUCACACUGGAACUGAGACACGGUCCAGACUCCUACGGGAGGCAGCAGUGGGGAAUAUUGGACAAUGGGCGAAAGCCUGAUCCAGCCAUGCCGCGUGUGUGAAGAAGGUCUUCGGAUUGUAAAGCACUUUAAGUUGGGAGGAAGGGCAGUAAAUUAAUACUUUGCCGUUUUGACGUUACCGACAGAAUAAGCACCGGCUAACUCUGUGCCAGCAGCCGCGGUAAUACAGAGGGUGCAAGCGUUAAUCGGAAUUACUGGGCGUAAAGCGCGCGUAGGUGGUUCGUUAAGUUGGAUGUGAAAUCCCCGGGCUCAACCUGGGAACUGCAUUCAAAACUGACGAGCUAGAGUAUGGUAGAGGGUGGUGGAAUUUCCUGUGUAGCGGUGAAAUGCGUAGAUAUAGGAAGGAACACCAGUGGCGAAGGCGACCACCUGGACUGAUACUGACACUGAGGUACGAAAGCGUGGGGAGCAAACAGGAUUAGAUACCCUGGUAGUCCACGCCGUAAACGAUGUCAACUAGCCGU
rnacentral:rRNA from 1 species